GGGCAGGGGCGGGGUGCUAUACAUGCAGUCGAGCGAACUGAUUAGAAGCUUGCUUCUAUGACGUUAGCGGCGGACGGGUGAGUAACACGUGGGCAACCUGCCUGUAAGACUGGGAUAACUUCGGGAAACCGAAGCUAAUACCGGAUAGGAUCUUCUCCUUCAUGGGAGAUGAUUGAAAGAUGGUUUCGGCUAUCACUUACAGAUGGGCCCGCGGUGCAUUAGCUAGUUGGUGAGGUAACGGCUCACCAAGGCAACGAUGCAUAGCCGACCUGAGAGGGUGAUCGGCCACACUGGGACUGAGACACGGCCCAGACUCCUACGGGAGGCAGCAGUAGGGAAUCUUCCGCAAUGGACGAAAGUCUGACGGAGCAACGCCGCGUGAGUGAUGAAGGCUUUCGGGUCGUAAAACUCUGUUGUUAGGGAAGAACAAGUACGAGAGUAACUGCUCGUACCUUGACGGUACCUAACCAGAAAGCCACGGCUAACUACGUGCCAGCAGCCGCGGUAAUACGUAGGUGGCAAGCGUUAUCCGGAAUUAUUGGGCGUAAAGCGCGCGCAGGCGGUUUCUUAAGUCUGAUGUGAAAGCCCACGGCUCAACCGUGGAGGGUCAUUGGAAACUGGGGAACUUGAGUGCAGAAGAGAAAAGCGGAAUUCCACGUGUAGCGGUGAAAUGCGUAGAGAUGUGGAGGAACACCAGUGGCGAAGGCGGCUUUUUGGUCUGUAACUGACGCUGAGGCGCGAAAGCGUGGGGAGCAAACAGGAUUAGAUACCCUGGGUAGUCCACGCCGUAAACGAUGAGUGCUAAGUGUUAGAGGGUUUCCGCCCUUUAGUGCUGCAGCUAACGCAUUAAGCACUCCGCCUGGGGAGUACGGUCGCAAGACUGAAACUCAAAGGAAUUGACGGGAGGCCCGCAGCAGCGGUGGAGCAUGCUGGUUUAUUUCGGAAGCAACGCGAAGAACAUUACCUAGGUCUGACAUCCUCUGGACACUCUAGAGAUAGAUCGUCCCUUUCGGGGGACAGAGUUGACAGUGAUGCAUGCUGUCGUCAGCUUCAGUCAUGAGAAUGUUAGAGUUAGGUCAGCAACUGAGCGCAACCGUUGAUCUUAGGUGCA
rnacentral:rRNA from 2 species